UACGUAGGGGCGAGCGUUGUCCGGAAUGACUGGGCGUAAAGGGCGUGUAGGCGGUCGAAUAAAGUCUGGAGUGAAAGUCCUGCUUUUAAGGUGGGAAUUGCUUUGGAUACUGUUAGACUUGAGUGCGGAAGAGGUAAGUGGAAUUCCCAGUGUAGCGGUGAAAUGCGUAGAGAUUGGGAGGAACACCAGUGGCGAAGGCGGCUUUCUGGCCAGUUACUGACGCUCAUGCGCGAAAAGCUGGGGUAGCGAACCGGAUUAGAUAUCCGCGUAGUCCCU
rnacentral:rRNA from 1 species